UUUUAUUUAGAGACAACAACGGUCAAAUGCUCAUUUUCACUAGUUGUUUUCGCGAGCAUAUUUUUCAUUGAAGACGCGGAAAUUCUUCGUAUCAUCUUUCGUGAUUAGCGCGGGGAAUUGUACUAAUGGAGAAAAAAAAAUUCUUUGUGUCCUGGCACCGAUCGCUGUCCAAUCGGUAAAUUCUCUAAAAUAAAUAAUAUUUUCGAAUUUUGGCCGGUGUUUGGUCUCGUUGGUGGCACUCGUCUCAGUACGCAAAAGCAUCGUCGGCGUUUACUAGCCGGAACAGCUUCCGACUUUGUGUAGGCAGGCGUCAGAGAGACGUGGAAAGUUCACCAAGCGCGCAGUCGAUAGAAACGUGAAUUUUGCCGACUCCGGUCCGCCAGAUGUCGGAUACUGCGGUCCUUGAAAUAACGGAACGAAGUUUUUUUCACCAGAUACCCGGAUUUUUUUUAUUCCUUGAAGUUGGUAAAGUGAGAAACCAGAUCAUGAGCUUUCACCAUGUGCAGGAAAAGACUGAGAUGAGUGAUCCAAAGAUAAACAGCGAAAGUUACCAGCGCCAAAUUACUAACUGCAACCUCGGUAUCGGUCCCAUCAUCAUCGCGCGGUAAAACCAGGCACUUUUCAAAGGCUAAGGCCCAAGUCUCCUACACAACCAUCUUCUUGGAUAUUACCAGAACAUCAAAUAGCCCGCCACCCGUCAGCGUCUCGCCACUCAUUCCCGUCAAACAGCUGACAAGUCAAAAAAAGAUUUUUUUGACAAAAUUUUUGGGGGA